rnacentral:rRNA from 1 species
AGUGAACGCUGGCGGUAGGCCUAACACAUGCAAGUCGAACGGCAGCACAGUAAGAGCUUGCUCUUACGGGUGGCGAGUGGCGGACGGGUGAGGAAUACAUCGGAAUCUACUUUUUCGUGGGGGAUAACGUAGGGAAACUUACGCUAAUACCGCAUACGACCUACGGGUGAAAGCAGGGGAUCUUCGGACCUUGCGCGAUUGAAUGAGCCGAUGUCGGAUUAGCUAGUUGGCGGGGUAAAGGCCCACCAAGGCGACGAUCCGUAGCUGGUCUGAGAGGAUGAUCAGCAAAACUGGAAAUGAGAAACGGUACAGAGACCUACGGGAGGCAGAAGGGGGGAAUAUUGGACAAUGGGCGCAAGACUGAUCCAGAAAUACCGCGGGGGUGAAGAAGGCCUUCGGGUUGUAAAGACCUUUUGUUGGGAAAGAAAAGCAGCAGGUUAAUACCCCGCUGUUCUGACGGUACCCAAAGAAUAAGCACCGGCUAACUUCGU